GGCGUCUGUGAUGUUGCACAGUUACCUACAUUGUUUGAGCCUCGUGAAAAAGAGCAUUGGCUGAGACGCCC
rnacentral:snoRNA from 1 species